GGCAACAGGAACUGGAUCUGAAUGCAGAUUUGAGUCACCCACCCACGCCCAAAUCUGAAAUGAUUUCCUAUGGGUACGAUACACCUGUAACUUCGAGGCCAAAGGUAACAACAGCAGUAGCCAAUCAACAGGAGGAACUGAGCCUGUGUCU